rnacentral:rRNA from 1 species
UACAGAGGUCCCAAGCGUUUGUUCGGAUUCACUGGGCGUAAAGGGUGCGUAGGUGGUGGGGUAAGUCGGAUGUGAAAGCUCGGAGCUCAACUCCGAAAUGGCAUUGGAAACUACCCUGCUAGAGGAUUGGAGGGGGGACUGGAAUACUUGGUGUAGCAGUGAAAUGCGUAGAUAUCAAGUGGAACACCAGUGGGCGAAAGCGAGUCCCUGGACAAUACCUGACCACUGAGGCACGAAAGCUAGGGGAGCAAACAGG